CAAUGGUUCUAUGUCCAGGCAGGGGCCGGUAAUGAGCAGUGCCCCCCAGAGGCCUGUCUUGGGACCAGUGCUCUUUAACAUCUUUAUCGAUGACAUCCAUAAAGGAGUUAAGUGCACCCUCAGUAAGUCUGCUGAUGACACCAAGCUGAGCGUUGUAGUUGACACAAGGGAAGGAAGGGUUGCCACUCAGAGGGACCUCAGCAGACUUGAAGGGCGGGCCUGGGUGAACCUAAUGAGGUUCAGCACAGCAAAGUGCAAGGUUUUGCACUUGGGCUGGAGGAAUUGCCGGCAUCUAUACAGACUGGAAGGAGCGGUCAUUGACAGCCACCCUGCAGAAAAGGGCCUGAGGGUAGAGGACCUGGUAGAUGAAAAACUUGACACGAGCCAGCAGUGUGCUCUUGCAGCUUGGAAAGCAAAUGGUGUCCUGGGCUCCAUCAGAAGAGAGAUGGCCAGCAGGGACGUGAGAGGUGAUUGUCCCUCUCUACUCUGCCCUCGUGAGGCCCCAUCUGGAGUACUGCAUCCAGAUCUGGGGCCCCCAGUACAGGAAAGACAGGGAGCAGUUGGAGAGGGUCCAGAGGAGAGCCAUGAAGAUGAUCAGGGGGCUGGAGCACCGGUACGAAGUAGAGAGGCUUAAAGUAAGUGCAGAGGUGUGGGAAGCCAUUAGAACCAGCAUUAACCACAAUGAACUUCUGAGGAUCCCAUUUCUUUCCAAGGAUUUACUUGUUGUAGUAGGCCACAAAGACAUUCUGAAGAAUGUUGUCCGAGAACUGAAUUUCCUGAUAGAGAAAGUCCCCAAAGAAAUUGAAAGAGAAAAGCAAGCAACUGAAGAAAUAGUGACUCUGAGUCCAGGGGAUUUUGCAAUUUUGCAGAAUGUUGGUUUUGAAGAAAGAAUUCGCGGGGAAUUCCCAGCUCUGCAGCUAACUUACAAUCCUACGCAGAAGAUAAUUAACCUAUAUGGACUGUGUGAGGAAGUUCAUAAAGUGAAAGGGGAUAUAUUGAUUAAUAUGUUAAAAAAAAGAAAAAAAGAAAAACAUUACUCUCCACCCUUUUGUUUUUCAGAUUUGGCAACAACAAUGAGAGGUUUCUGUUCCAUGGGACAAGAGUCAUUAACCUUCAUUAACAACUAUGGAUUUAACCGCAGCUCUGCUGGAAUGCACGCUGCACAGUAUGAAAAUGGAACUUACUUUGCUGUUAAUGCCAGCUAUUCUGCUAAUGACGUCUACUCAAAACCAGAUGCAAAUGGGGAGUGGGUUCACCUGCACAUGCCAGAAGACCAGAGAUACAGACCUUCUGGACAUGAGUUCUCAUUUAAUACUCGUUCCAUUUAAGUGUACAAGAACAGUUGCAAAGGACACUGUGGAAAUUAUGACAGAGUGAAUCUAAUGUCACUGAGUGCCUCCACUACAGCCUUCUCCAUCAAGUUCCAAACCACUUAGUCAAUGUAUGACCACUUAUGACAAUUCAGAUCCUCCGCUGGCAAAUUUAAAAUAAAUUUAAUAUCCACAGAUGCUAGAAAUCCA
rnacentral:lncRNA from 1 species